rnacentral:tRNA from 2 species
GCCGGAGUGGCGGAACAGGCAGACGCAAGGGACUUAAAAUCCCUCGGGCCCUGGGCCCAUGCGGGUUCGAUCCCCGCCUCCGGCACCA